rnacentral:rRNA from 1 species
GACGAACGCUGGCGGCGUGCUUAACACAUGCAAGUCGAACGGAAAGGCCCUGCUUUUGUGGGGUGCUCGAGUGGCGAACGGGUGAGUAACACGUGAGUAACCUGCCCUUGACUUUGGGAUAACUUCAGGAAACUGGGGCUAAUACCGGAUAGGAGCUCCUGCUGCAUGGUGGGGGUUGGAAAGUUUCGGCGGUUGGGGAUGGACUCGCGGCUUAUCAGCUUGUUGGUGGGGUAGUGGCUUACCAAGGCUUUGACGGGUAGCCGGCCUGAGAGGGUGACCGGCCACAUUGGGACUGAGAUACGGCCCAGACUCCUACGGGAGGCAGCAGUGGGGAAUAUUGCACAAUGGGCGGAGGCCUGAUGCAGAAACGCCGCGUGCGGGAUGACGGCCUUCGGGUUGUAAACCGCUUUCGCCUGUGACGAAGCGUGAGUGACGGUAAUGGGUAAGGAAGCACCGGCUAACUACGUG